AUUUAAAUAAUAUAAAAAGUAUAAUUAAUUUCCAAUUAAUAAGUCUUAAAAAAGUUUAAAUA
rnacentral:tRNA from 1 species